rnacentral:rRNA from 1 species
AGAACGAACGCUGGCGGCAGGCCUCAAACAUGCAAGUCUAGGGGGUGUAGCAAUACAUCACCGGCGGACGGGUGCGUAACACGUGGGAAUAUACCUUUUGGUUCGGAACAACGCAGGGAAACUUGCGCUAAUACCGAAUGUGCCCUUACGGGGAAAGAUUUAUCGCCAAAGGAUUAGCCCGCGUAGGAUUAGCUAGUUGGUGAGGUAAUGGCUCACCAAGGCUCCGAUCCUUAGCUGUUCUGAGAGGAAGAUCAGCCACACUGGGACUGAGACACGGCCCAGACUCCUACGGGAGGCAGCAGUUGGGAAUCUUGGACAAUGGGGGAAACCCUGAUCCAGCCAUGCCGCGUGAGUGAUGAAGGCCUUCGGGUUGUAAAACUCUUUCGACGGGACGAUAAUGACGGUACCCGUAGAAGAGCUCCGGCUAACUUCGUGCCAGCAGCCGC